UCACACUUUUGAAAGUCGUGCGUCUCAAAAUUCCCUUUCCGAAAAGCUAUCGUGGGUCUCUAUCGGAUGUCGGCAGCAAAAGUUAGGCCCGGUCCAAGUCUGCCGUAAAGUCCAAGGCUAACUGCUCCAUAUCAUUCCCUUCCACUUGUAAAGAACUCGACCUCGAGUUGUCUUCAGCAGGAUAGUACUGAAAUAGAUCCGCCACGUUAAACGUCUUGGAAAUUUUCAUCUCAUGUGGGAGGUCAAGAACAUAGGCAUUGUCAUUAAUCUUCUGAAUGAUCCAGAAUGGACCAAUCUUCUUGGCGUCCAGCUUUUUCUGUCCUCCACCACGUUCCUUGCGUAAAUACACCAUAACUUGAUCACCGA
rnacentral:lncRNA from 1 species